ensembl:lncRNA SCTR-AS1 SCTR antisense RNA 1
UCGGCACAGGACCCCAGCUUCCAUCCUCACGUUGUGUGGACAUGGUCCAGCUUCCUGCCGCGGACCAUGAGCAAUCCAAGGGUAGGGGAGCCUCAAGAGGGAGACACUGAGCCUUUACGUAAUGAGGCAGGGAGGGGUUCAAGCAAUUAAUUGAGAAAGGAUGUGACAGGACUGGCACCUGGUCACUUUGUGGCCGUGAGCACCAGCUCCGCCUAUCCCCUCUGCAGGGCAGAAGGGACAGUGCUGCGGGAGGCGGAGGUGCUGUGGCUCUGGGAAGGCUGAAAAGGGACGGCUGCAAAGGAGAAGAGCUUCGAGUCCUUUCCAUCAGGAGAAAAACCCGGUCAGCUGUGGAGGAGCACUGCACAGGAGUCAGAAAGUGGAGUCUGGGCGUGACCUUGCACCUGACCAGCCUGGGGCUCUAGGUCCGCCACAUCUGGACUAAUCUCCUGUGUCCUGAGCUCCCAGGACCCCAGAGGCAAGCAUGGAGGGGCCACGCUGGCAGGUAAAGUUGAACCCACAGUGGCUUAGGACGAGCUCCUGCACAGCGGCCUGUUUCCCAAUUGCAUCGUGUAUCUCUUUGCCUCUCUUGGCUCAGCCAUGGCCCCAGCCCCAGGCCAUCCAAGGGGCAGCCUGGUGAGGUUUCUUCAACUUUGCUAAUGACUUGACCUACAGUCUUAAGUCAAGAAGGUGUCGCUCUCCUUUGUGAUGGCUGGACGCACAGGAGCUGUGGUCAGGAUGGGGCUAGAGGAGCUGAAAUCCCAGGGCAACAAGGGUAUUUAAAAACACAUCGCAGGAGAAACAGCUAAAGAGUCUUGGAACCAGGAAUCAUAAGCUGUUUGAUGGGAUGAACUAUCUUGGGAGUGAUGAGGUCCCCAUCACUGAAAGUAUUCAAGCAGAGAGAGUCAUGGAAUUAGGAGACGGAAGAGCAUCAGACACUGAAUGAAGUCUGCACUACAUGAGAUGAAGAACCCUUCCAGCCCUGAGGCCGAGCAGCCACUUCUCUGGAGCAGGCUGGCCCAUCUAUGUCCAGGAGGCCAGCCCCAGGCUAGCUUCUGAGCACGGGGAGCUAAGUCCUUCGCCUUCCAGAGACUGCACAAAGUGUGUGCCACCUCCACAGAACCCUCCUCAUCCACCCGAGAACUCUUCCUCACCUGACCUAAAGCUCUUCAUUUCAUACCACCUUUCAAGCGAAUUAAGGAUUAAUUGCCAGCAGCAAUCUCUGUCUUUGUUUGUUUUCUCUAAUGGAAAACCUUUCUCUCGGGAGGGUAAGGUUAUCAGUCAUUCACAGCUCAGUUGUGCUGUGUUUGAUUAGACUGGACGGCAAAGCUGAGUCCUGUUUCGGCUCUGUGCGAUCCUGGGCCCCUUGGAGCCUGUUUUCUCAUCUAUGAAAUGGGAGUAAUAAUAGUGCUUAUUGCACAGUUGUUUUAAGAACUAAAAAUUUAAAUUGCCUAGAAUGUUAUACAAACAUAAGCUGCCAUAUUUUGGAAAAAUGAGCCAAGAUCAGUGGUGCCAAGGGAAGAAUGGGCAGAGGUGAGCUGUGGGCAGCCGUGGAGGAUGGUCCACGGUGUGGCUGCCAGAGGGCAUCGGGGGCCAGGCAACUCCAGAAAGGAGCUAGGAAUGUUAGAGAAAACUGCACUAACAGCCAGCAUGCGUGAAGAACUGAUUCAUACUACACCGUGGAUGAACCUCAAGAACAUUAUUCUCGGCAAAAGCAGACAGACACAAAAGGUCACAUAGCAAAUGCUUCCGUUGAUAUGAAAUGUCCAGCACUGGCAAAUCCACAGAGACAGAAAGUAGAUUAGUAAUAGCCAGCGGCUGCAGACAGGGAAGGAGGGGAGUGAUGACUUAAUGGGUACAGGGAUUUUAUUUUGGGGUAAUGAAGAUAUUUUGGAAUGAGACAGAGCUGGUGGCUGCAUAGAGCACUAUGAAAGUGCUAAUUGCCAUUGAAUUAUUCACUUCAAAACAGUUAAUUUAACGCUAUGUGAAUUUCACCUCAAUAAAAAAGGUACAAAAUAAAAA